GAUGAACGCUGGCGGCGUGCCUAAUACAUGCAAGUCGAGCGAACGGACGAGAAGCUUGCUUCUCUGAUGUUAGCGGCGGACGGGUGAGUAACACGUGGAUAACCUACCUAUAAGACUGGGAUAACUUCGGGAAACCGGAGCUAAUACCGGAUGAUAUUUUGAACCGCAUGGUUCAAAAGUGAAAGACGGUCUUGCUGUCACUUAUAGAUGGAUCCGCGCUGCAUUAGCUAGUUGGUAAGGUAACGGCUUACCAAGGCAACGAUGCAUAGCCGACCUGAGAGGGUGAUCGGCCACACUGGAACUGAGACACGGUCCAGACUCCUACGGGAGGCAGCAGUAGGGAAUCUUCCGCAAUGGGCGAAAGCCUGACGGAGCAACGCCGCGUGAGUGAUGAAGGUCUUCGGAUCGUAAAACUCUGUUAUUAGGGAAGAACAUAUGUGUAAGUAACUGUGCACAUCUUGACGGUACCUAAUCAGAAAGCCACGGCUAACUACGUGCCAGCAGCCGCGGUAAUACGUAGGUGGCAAGCGUUAUCCGGAAUUAUUGGGCGUAAAAGCGCGCGUAGGCGGUUUUUUAAGUCUGAUGUGAAAGCCCACGGCUCAACCGUGGAGGGUCAUUGGAAACUGGAAAACUUGAGUGCAGAAGAGGAAAGUGGAAUUCCAUGUGUAGCGGUGAAAUGCGCAGAGAUAUGGAGGAACACCAGUGGCGAAGGCGACUUUCUGGUCUGUAACUGACGCUGAUGUGCGAAAGCGUGGGGAUCAAACAGGAUUAGAUACCCUGGUAGUCCACGCCGUAAACGAUGAGUGCUAAGUGUUAGGGGGUUUCCGCCCCUUAGUGCUGCAGCUAACGCAUUAAGCACUCCGCCUGGGGAGUACGACCGCAAGGUUGAAACUCAAAGGAAUUGACGGGGACCCGCACAAGCGGUGGAGCAUGUGGUUUAAUUCGAAGCAACGCGAAGAACCUUACCAAAUCUUGACAUCCUUUGACAACUCUAGAGAUAGAGCCUUCCCCUUCGGGGGACAAAGUGACAGGUGGUGCAUGGUUGUCGUCAGCUCGUGUCGUGAGAUGUUGGGUUAAGUCCCGCAACGAGCGCAACCCUUAAGCUUAGUUGCCAUCAUUAAGUUGGGCACUCUAAGUUGACUGCCGGUGACAAACCGGAGGAAGGUGGGGAUGACGUCAAAUCAUCAUGCCCCUUAUGAUUUGGGCUACACACGUGCUACAAUGGACAAUACAAAGGGCAGCGAAACCGCGAGGUCAAGCAAAUCCCAUAAAGUUGUUCUCAGUUCGGAUUGUAGUCUGCAACUCGACUACAUGAAGCUGGAAUCGCUAGUAAUCGUAGAUCAGCAUGCUACGGUGAAUACGUUCCCGGGUCU
rnacentral:rRNA from 1 species